UUCUCAAUAGCUCAGAGGUUAGAGCGGUCCUAUUUCUUGGAUGUGUCAUCGGUUCGAAUCCGAUUUGAGAAAC
rnacentral:tRNA from 1 species